CGGAGGGUCCAAGCGUUAUCCGGAAUCGAUUGGGUUAAAGGGUCCGUAGGCGGUUUUGUAAGUCAGUGGUGAAAGCCCAUCGCUCAACGGUGGAACGGCCAUUGAUACUGCAAGACUUGAAUUAUUAGGAAGUAACUAGAAUAUGUAGUGUAGCGGUGAAAUGCUUAGAGAUUACAUGGAAUACCAAUUGCGAAGGCAGGUUACUACUAAUAUAUUGACGCUGAUGGACGAAAGCGUGGGGAGCGAACAGGAUUAGAUACCCUGGUAGUCCACGCCGUAAACGAUGGAUACUAGCUGUUCGGAGCAAUCUGAGUGGCUAAGCGAAAGUGAUAAGUAUCCCACCUGGGGAGUACGUUCGCAAGAAUG
rnacentral:rRNA from 1 species